rnacentral:misc_RNA from 1 species
UGAGCAGCGCGCUGACCC